rnacentral:rRNA from 1 species
CAAUAGCAUAUAUUAACGUUGUUGCAGUUGAAAAGCUCGUAGUUGAACUUUUGGUAGGAGCGACCUGGCCUUGGGCGCAUGCCCUUGUUUGCCGUGUGUCGUAUCUGGCCAUCCUUUUCUUCUUUUUGGAAGGAAUCUUUUACUGUGAGUAAACUGGAGUGCUCAAAACAAGACGUUUGUUUGGUACAUUAAAGCAUGGAAUAAUAAGAUAGGACCUGGUUACUAUUUUGUUGGUUUGCAUAGCUAGGUAAUGAUUAACAGGGACAGUUGGGGGUAUUCGUAUUUAAUUGUCAGGGGUGAAAUUCUUGGAUUUAUGAAAGACGAACGACUGCGAAAGCAUUUACCAAGGAUGUUUNCAUUA